rnacentral:rRNA from 1 species
UACGGGGGGGAGCAAGCGUUGUUCGGAUUUACUGGGCGUAAAGGGCGCGUAGGCGGUCGCGACAAGUCACUUGUGAAAUCUCCGGGCUUAACCCGGAAAGGUCAGCCGAUACUGCGGGGCUAGAGUGCAGAAGGGGCAACUGGAAUUCUCGGUGUAGCGGUGAAAUGCGUAGAUAUCGAGAGGAACACCUGCGGCGAAGGCGGGUUGCUGGGCUGACACUGACGCUGAAGCGCGAAAGCUAGGGGAGCGAACGGG